rnacentral:rRNA from 1 species
GACGAACGCUGGCGGCGUGCCUAAUACAUGCAAGUCGAGCGGACGAAUCGAAAGCUUGCUUUUGAUUCGUUAGCGGCGGACGGGUGAGUAACACGUGGGCAACCUGCCCUGUAGACGGGGAUAACACCGAGAAAUCGGUGCUAAUACCGGAUAACACGAAAUGUCGCAUGACGUUUCGUUGAAAGACGGCGCAAGCUGUCGCUACAGGAUGGGCCCGCGGCGCAUUAGCUAGUUGGUGAGGUAACGGCUCACCAAGGCGACGAUGCGUAGCCGACCCGAGAGGGUGAUCGGCCACACUGGGACUGAGACACGGCCCAGACUCCUACGGGAGGCAGCAGUAGGGAAUCUUCCGCAAUGGACGAAAGUCUGACGGAGCAACGCCGCGUGAGCGAAGAAGGCCUUCGGGUCGUAAAGCUCUGUUGUUAGGGAAGAACAAGUAACGCAGUAACUGGCGUUACCGUGACGGUACCUAACGAGAAAGCCACGGCUAACUACGUG